UAGGGAAUUUUGGACAAUGGGCGAAAGCCUGAUCCAGCAAUGCCGCGUGUGUGAAGAAGGCCUUCGGGUUGUAAAGCACUUUUGUCCGGAAAGAAAUCCUUGGCUCUAAUACAGUCGGGGGAUGACGGUACCGGAAGAAUAAGCACCGGCUAACUACGUGCCAGCAGCCGCGGUAAUACGUAGGGUGCAAGCGUUAAUCGGAAUUACUGGGCGUAAAGCGUGCGCAGGCGGUUUGCUAAGACCGAUGUGAAAUCCCCGGGCUCAACCUGGGAACUGCAUUGGUGACUGGCAGGCUAGAGUAUGGCAGAGGGGGGUAGAAUUCCACGUGUAGCAGUGAAAUGCGUAGAGAUGUGGAGGAAUACCGAUGGCGAGGGCAGCCCCCUGGGCCAAUACUGACGCUCAUGCACGAAAGCGUGGGGAGCAAACAGGAUUAGAUACCCUGGUAGUCCACGCCCUAAACGAUGUCAACUAGUUGUUGGGGAUUCAUUUCCUUAGUAACGUAGCUAACGCGUGAAGUUGACCGCCUGGGGAGUACGGUCGCAAGAUUAAAACUCAAAGGAAUUGACGGGGUCAUAGCUGUUUCCU
rnacentral:rRNA from 1 species